rnacentral:rRNA from 1 species
CUCGGCAACGGAUAUCUCGGCUCUCGCAUCGAUGAAGAACGUAGCAAAAUGCGAUACCUGGUGUGAAUUGCAGAAUCCCGUCAACCAUCAAGUUUUUGAACGCAAGUUGCGCCCGAGGCCUUCUGGUCGAGGGCACGUCUGCCUGGGCGUCACGCCAAAAGACA